rnacentral:lncRNA from 1 species
GAAUGCCUUGUGUCGGCGUUCAAUGUCAUCGAUGCUGCCAGAAAUGCCAAGCUCAGUGUCGGUUCCAAUAGCAGAAGCCACAGCAGCAAUCCCAUCAAGGUUCUGCAGCCUCUCGAUUUUUUUCUCUUUCACCAGCUCAAUGAGAGUUGUUUGAUCAAUUUGGAAAGGACUGUUUUCUUGUAUAACAGUGAGUGAAACAUGAGAUGGUGAGCGAGGAAUGACAUUGGUUUUUUCUACGGCUGUUGGGGACUUGGUGACAAGGGAUGAAAAUGUUCUAGAACAACGGAUGGUAAUGAAAAUGGAGUGCCAUUUCUUUUUGGAUUUGCUGGUGGGAGGGACUUGGACUAUACAUUCCAUGCCAAGCAAGUUUGAUUGAAGAAUGGUAAUCAUGGUUUUCAGAACUCCGAAUCACGGCAAAAAGAAACUGUAAAGGCAGUAACUGUGAAGGAAAUGAUAUUAUAGGAAACGGUUUUCUUGAAAUGAAAAACUCUGGAGCAUCUCAGGCUUUUAAGUAAAGUCCACCGCGUUAGAAACACCGUCGUAGAAAUAAGCUGUUUCGUAGAAAUCAGCUGUUUCCCAUUUCUAUUAUCUGUAAAUUGGAAGGAGAAGCGAAGAAACAAAAUUUAUGCUUCGAAGUUGCGUAGAAAGUCUUUAUUCGAGACGGCAAAGUUUGCAACGGUUACAAUUAAUUAGAUUAUUAGCCUUUUCACCUGCCAUUAAAAAAAAAUGGUAUUGCUUCCAGGUUUUUAACAUAGGAAGGGUUUGCAAAUAUCCCAAGAUUUAUUGACUAGUCAAAACGCGGGAGGCCGAUGCGAUUCUCAGGCUCUCCCCAGCAAUGUAAAUCUUUGGCACCAAGACUCCAACGUGUAACAACAAUUUUGACGCUAAGACUUUUUUUUUUAAUAAAAAAAAUCUUUGAAUCAUAUUAUUUUAUAUAUUUAUAAAUAACUUUUUAUUUUUAUUAUAUUUAAAUAAAAUUUUAAUUUUUAUUAAAACAAAAAUUUAACUUUUAAUUUAUAUAUAAAUAAGUCUUAAUUUUAAUUUAUACCUAAAUGAUCUCUUAAAGUAAAUUAACUUUUCUUUUGAAAUUAAAACUUAUUGAAUACAAAUCAAUGGAUAAUUAUUUAUUUUAAUAUAAUAAAAAUAUAAGAAUUUUUCAAAGAAAAUUAAAAAAAUUCAAAGGUUUUGUUUUAAUAUUUUAACAUUAAAAGUACAACUUUAAUCAUUAAUUAAUUCUCUUAAAAUAUUUAUUAUCUAUUACUGUUUUACUAUUUAUUAUAUAUAUUAUUAUUUUAAUAGGAAGAAAAACCAAAUUAUACAAUUAUAGAAACAACCAACUUACAAACCAAUUUACUUUUACGUCUUUUUAAAAUUUUAAUAAUAUUACUAAUAUUUUAAUAAAAACGACCGAUAAUUUAACAAAAUAAUCGUUAAAUCAUAUUCUUUGAGCACGUGAAAUUUUGAGUUGAUUUGGUAUUUAUAUUAUAUUGAUUAAAAAUGUUAUUUUUUAAUAAAUAUUUAUCAAUUGCAUUAAAUAAAUAAUUAAAUAUUUUAAAUUAAUUUAAAUUCGAUAUACAUGAUGAAAUGGUGUAAAUUAAAUUGCAUUAAAUGGAGGAGUUCAAAUUUGUAUUUUGCGAGAUCGACAUGAAAUUUCAAUUAAAGAUGGAGUCAAGCAUAUUUAGCAUGAAUAUUGGUAAUUUGAAAGAAUUUGAGUUAAGGUGGAGAUUGUUGGGAUUGACUCAAAUCUCAUGAUAGAUUUGUUUGAGAUUUUUUUUUAAGAUUUACUGUAUAUUAUUUGAUUGAAAAAAAGACUUGUAAGAGAAGAAUUUUAAAAAAAAAUUAAAUUUUUAAUAGGCUAGUGUGUAUGCUUAUAAAUAGUAAAAGUUUUUAUAGGAUUAAGUAUGAAAAAAAUAUAUUAGAGAAUUGUAAGAUUUUAUGGGAUAAACACCCAAUAAGAUUAGAGGAGAUUGAAAAUAUUUUUAUGAGUGUGUAUAUUUGAGUAGAUUAGAAAAGAAUAAAAAGAUAGACAUAAGUAUAGUAAGCUACAUAGGUAUGUGUUUUUUUUAGAUUAAGAAUACUUUAUAGGAUUAGAGAAGGAUAAAAAAGUCUAUGAAUAUUAAUUAUGAGUGUUGACUGAUAUUAUUGUAUGUUUGUAAUACUCAAUAACUAGUGAAUUUUUUUUCUUUUCAUUUAUGGACAUAUGUCAUUUUGGAAAAAGUCGAAUUACGUUAAAUUAUUAUUUCUUGUGUUUUUGAUUGAUUGCUUUAUUAUACUUUCAUUAGCUUGAUUGUUUAAUUGGAUUAAGACUUACAAUUGAAAUAAAAGUUUUCAUGAUCCCAACAAUUCAUCCUAACUAUUGAAAUUCAAUUGAGAAAGAGAUUCAUACCCUACUUUUUAUGUAGACACUUAAUUUUGUUUGAGUUAUUUGAAAUGGACCUCAUUUUGUACAUCUCAUUUGAGUUUGUUAUUUGGGCUCCAGUGGGCUCGACUGUAUAAACCAAAUUCGAUCAAAUCUAAUUUAUUUUAGGUUUGAAAGCUUAAGGUCCAAAUUAGUUGGGUUUGAACUUUGAAAGCCUAAGGUUCAAAUUCCAUAUUGAAAACCCAAACUUGUUUCAUUAGGAUUAGUUAAGUUAUAAUUAAAAAUUUGAAAAUUUUUAAUUAAAAAAAUCAAUCAAUUUUUAAAAAAAUAAAAAUUAAAAAAUUAAAAAAAAAAAGAGAAGAGGUUUGCAAUUUCCAUUCCCCUACCAAUUGACCAACCUUGCAAUUUACCCUCCCUUGUUAUCAACCUAAUAUGGAUACAUUCGUUAUCCCUUUCUUAAAAGAAAUCUAACCAAGCCUAAAAUGAGGAAGAUUGCAAUUAUAAAAUUCAACAUAAAUUGAUGACAACUACAUGACACUGCAAAGCCUCAUUUGUAGUGAAAUAUCCAACAAGCUUUCUUGCUGCCAAUAAUGCUUUGAAACCUCUUCGUACUUGAAAAUCUAAUAUUUGAAAUCCCAACCGGCUAUAAAGAUUUGAGACUUAAAACAGAGAAAAAAAAGGCCAAUUUUGAAUGAAAAACCUAACAAAAAUCCUUUAUAUCCAAUACUACUCAAACCUCAAACCACUAGAGGUCUUUUACCAUAAACAAACCAUAACAAGCCUCCACAAACCACCUUCAUAACCUCAUUUCACUCAUAACCAACCUUGCUGAGACUUUCUUUCUACAAUCGAACCCUACCCAUUAUCAAACACUUAAAUCCAUCAUAGCCUAUUUACACCAAGAACUCACUUAAAUCAAAAGACCCCACUGUCAAUAUCAAACCCCCCACCAUCAGUUAUCUUAUAUCACACCAACAGUAAACCCAAAAAAAAUCCAUCAACCCAAAGACACCUAAGACCUAAAAUAAAUUUUAUAUUUCCUUUGGGAAAAAGCAACAAUAAGCCAAAAAAAUUUCAAAUUGAAAAAAAAAAUAAUAAACAAAAGUAUCAAAGAAGCAUAAGUUUGGAAGGGCUUAAAGAAGAUUCGAAAGUUUUGAAGUUAGGGUUUUUUUUUUUUUUUGGGUGAAGAAAAAGACUAACAAAAAAAGUACUACAUAUCAAAAGAGGUGAUAUUUGCUACGAUGGAAAGGCCCUUUUUGUGUUGAAGUCGAAACUUUGAGUCUAGCUCUACCAAAAUUGAGGCAUUUUAAAGAAAAACUAAGGUCAAAAAUGAAAAAAAAAAGGUCAAAAUGAAUUAGGGGAUGAAUUUUGAAGGAUUUCUGGCUUUGGUCAUCAGCGGCAUAUAGUGGAAUAAUGAUGGUAACGAAGGUAGAGAAGCUGCUAGUUUUUAGGUUAAAAAGUUUGUUUAAAAUGAUUGGGAUUUUUUUUUAAAAAGGGAAUCAAAUGAAUAUAAAAAAAAAAUAUGCUUAAGGCUUUAUAAAGUAGAACAAAAAAAGCUUUUGUUGAUUGACCUAUGGACUUGUCGGCCUAAACAGGAUUUAUUGAUCGACCCUUUUCUGGUCUAUACUUUAAACUUAUUGCAACUUUAGCUUAAUUAAUUUAAUGGUUUUGCUUUGAAUUUUAAAUUGGGUUUAGUCUAAUCUUAUAGGUAUAUUUCAACCUUAUCUAUUUAUUUUGUUUUAUUGGUUUAUUUAUCAUAUAUUUAUUUAUGAUGGUAAAAAUAUCUUUAAAAAAAAUUCAAAUAGUAUAUAUAGACUUACUUAUGGGUUAGGUAGCCAGGCCAAAUCUCGAAAACUCGUUUGAAAUUUUGAAGGGCUUGAAUAUGAAUAUUAAGUUCGUUAAAUGUGUUUGGACAAAUAAAUGGGACCUAAUAAAAAAAUAAGGUUGGACUUAGGUUUCACCAUUUAAGAUCUAGCCCGGCUUGGCCCAAAAAUUAAAAAAUAUUUUUUAUUAUUAUGAACAAAACUCAUUUACUUUAUCUUUUUUUUUUUUGUAAUAGACAAAAUCAAUUUGAUUUAUUACUUAUAAUAUAAUAAAGCCGAAUUUUUUUUAUACAAAAUAAUGAUCUAAUUUUAAAUUGCAUUUAAUAAAAUUAAGUUGGACACAAACCCAAAUAACUCAUAAAUUCAAGUAAAAUUAAUUAAAUUAAUAAUUUACAAAGAAACAUAAAAAAUUUUUUUUUCUAAUUUUAAAUACUAGUACUUUGGGCUAAUUUGGACAUUAUUAUUACAUGUAGAAAAGGGCUUGGAUAAAAAAUAAGAUCUAAAAAACCAUAUUAGGUUGGGCUUAAGCUUGCUUAAAAUGCUAGAAUAUCAUACCAAGUCCAGUUCGAACUCAACCCAGCUUGGUCUAUGAGCAAGUUUAUUUGUAUAGUUAAGAUUAUAAAUUUAAUUUUAUCUAGUCCAAUUAUAUUUAUUUCACCAUAUAAAUUUAACAAAAUAAAAAAUGGGCGGAAACUUUCCAAUGAUGAAAUUCUAAAAAAAUUUGUAUAAUGAUUCUUAUGAAAUCUUUAAGAAAUUAUUUUUUUUAAAUACUAUCAAUAUAUUUAAGUGUUUAUAAAAUAUUUUCAAUGAAAAAAAUUUUGCUUUUUCUUCUAUAAAAAAUGUGAAAAAUACAAAAAAAUAUAAAAAGGAAAAAAAUAAUUUUUUUCUCAAAAAAGGAAAAAAUGAUUUAUAAAAUAAAAUAUAAAUACAUAAAUAAAAUAUGCAUAUCAAUACAUGAAUAUUAUGUUUCAUUAUUUGUAUUGUAUAUGUAUUACUAAAUCAUGAAAAAAUAAAUGUGAACCUUUGAGGAUGGGAUUUAAAAAAAAUCCGACUAGUGAUUUUUAAGAAAUCCUUAAGUAAAAUUUUUUUUUUCAAUAUUAUCAAUGUAUCGAAACAUUUUAAAAGUUUUUCAAUAAUAAGAUUUUAAUUUUUUUUUUCAUUUUUUUUUCUAUUGAUUGAAAGGAAAUAAGAGGAGAAAAAUAAAACUGCUAGAUUUGUAUUUUUUUUCUUCAAAUUCAUUUAUUCCAAGUAUGAAAGAAAAACACUUACUUAACUUAAUUUAAUUUCUUUUCCUAUGCCUUCCACCCCCAAUGUUUAUUUUUUAGGAUUAGGAGUCAAAUAUGAACGCAACAUAACAUUAUCUAUGUUCAGAUCAGCUACAAGGCUCUUGAGGCCUGAUUCAACUUUGCAAUUAAUGAAGGUAUAAGCAAUUGUUGACUAAUUCGAGUCAUUGGCUCAUGGCUGUACUAUUUAGAAGAAAUAAUCAUUCGAACCAAUUAAUUUUAUUAAUGAAGGAACCAAUAAAAAAUUAUAACUACUAUUAUCUUAUUAAGGGAAAAAAGAAUUUUAUGAUUUAUUUGUAAUCAAAAGUAUUUAAACUUCAUUGUAUAAAAAAUAAGUUUGGAUUACUUCUUAAAAACACUGUUGGUUAAUCAAGUUAAAAGAAAAAUUUUGCUAACAAUUACCCUAAAAACAUUGUUUAAAGUUGUUAUAUUAAGUAUUCCCUCUAUCUUAUUUUAUGUGUUUGCGUUUUUUUUUGGAACAAACAUAAUUUUUAAAAAAUAGUACAUUGAAUUAAAAUUUUAAAAAAAUUUUAAAAAAUUUAACACUUAAAAUUUACAAAAUUUUGAAAAUUUUAUUUUAUUUUUUUAUUUUUAAAAAUAAUGGUCAAUUUUGAUUAAUUUGAUUAAAAAAAUUAAUUUUGAGACAAAAAAAGGUAAUAUUUUUCUCAAUGUUUUAAAAUUGAUCAAAUUGACCCUGAAACAUUGCAUUUGAACACAAAAAAUAUUAUUAUAACUAGCAGCUUAUGUAACUUAAAAAAAAGAUGAAUUUGUUUUACUCUUUGUACACGUUUUAUGAAUGCACAUUUUUCGAAUAUGAUUAAAGCUUAUAUUAACCUGCAUGGUAACAUUGGCUUAAAUACUAUAAAAGAGUGACUCUUUUGCUAAAGCUUGCCAAAGAAAGCUACAAGCAGUUCAAAAUAUAGGUGGAUGGGGGAGUGAGUGACAAGCGUAGACAUAAAUGAAGGAGCUUGAGGGGUGAUUGAAUUGGGAAAUUAUGAUAUGAUAUGAAGCAUAAAGGGAAAUUUUUAGACUGGUAAAGGGAUUUUUUGCCUCAGCCUGACAACAUUUGGUAGGUCCACUUUUCUUACUGCUGCUCAUGGCAUGAAAGUGGACAAUGAAAUUCUCUAGAUCUAGCUGAACAUCUCCAUAUGCACUCAAACAAGCAACUUGGUCUUUGUUCUUUUAGUAACCACUCUCUUAGCUAGCAUAUUUCGGGUGAUGCAUAUGCUUCUCAUCCAGAUGCAAUAGAUACUACCACUUUAAGAAAUAUGGGCAACUAGAAAAUAGUUGGACAGAAAAAAAACAAACACAGCAAUUAAAUUUUGAAGCAGAGUUGCAAAGAAGGGAGUCUGAAGUUGAUUCGACCACUUGGCAUCAACUGAAGGGGUUCAUGAAAACUCUAAAAAAGCUUUAAUGGACCUUCUUCACCAAAACUUGGUAUUCAAUCCACAUAGUCAUCAGAAGUAGAUUAUCAACCUUCUACUUUAUCUUCCAAAGGGUGAGAAAUUUUUGGCUUGUUUUUGAGCCUCAAAUUUCUAAUUUUUCUUUUAAUCAUUUCCUAAAUCAGAAAGUUAAAAGUGCACAACUCGUUUUUGGAAGGCUCUCAAAAUUCCAAUUCAAGUGUCUUGUUGCAAGAUCAGUUGUUUAGAGUUGCUAUAAGUGAUUGUGUUAACCAUAUGGUUAAUUGUAAAAGACUGCCUUUUAAAGCCAAUUCUAGCUCAUUUGCAAAGGAAUAGUCAUUCUUGUUAGGCAUUGAAAAUCCUUUUCAUAGUAGUUAUGCAGAUGCUAGCUUGAUAGGAAAAUCAGUUAUGGAUAAAGAAUUAGCAGUACUGAAAGGAAAGAAGGAGAUGAAAAAUGGAUUGAAAGGCAUGAUUACAAGGAGUAAUCUUGUGUCAGGUUUAAGGGCAAUAUAGAAAAGCUUGGGUCCUGGUUUUGUGUCCAAAUGGUGAUUUUUAUUGGUUAAAACAGUGAAGUCAACAAUUCAGCUAAUGAAGUUAACUCUCAGACUAUAUUGAUACAUGAUUUUAGAGUUUAGGCACCUAUUUAGUAAUUUUUUUAGCUUAGAUACCAAAUCUAACAAAUUACAAUAAUUCAGAGGUUAUAUAAGAUAUUAUCCCUUUCUUUUUUUCAUAGAAGUGUAGGUUGAAAUGAGGUUAUUGUCCCCCAUUUUUUCCAUUACAAUUCAGGCUGAACUAUCCAAAAUCUAUAACUAUAUAUAAUAACAAUCCCAAUUGUGAUUUGUUCAACACCUCUUAAGUGUCAUAAAACAAAAUUGGGAGAUAAAUUUGGAAAGAAAAAGAUUAAAGCUUUUCCAGAAGCUCCUACUUUUCUUUUCUUCUCAUGCUCCCUUUUCUCCUCCACAUUUUCUCUUCCUCUCACUCUCUUAUUUUUUUUUUCAUUUUCACAGUUAUUUGAUCUUAAUUUUUAGCUCAUAUCAGAGCCUUAAAUUAUAGGAUUUUUAUAGUCCUCAUUCUUUUUCCUUUUAAUAGCUUGGAUUUUCAAAGUUGUUGAUUUUUGGGUUGAAUUUAAUUAUUUAUACGCAAGAUUGUUGAAGAGGAAGAAAGGAAAAACAGUCACAAGAGAAACAUUGAAGAAGUGUCCUUAAAAUGGCCUUGAAGAUUCUUUGUUAAAGCCUAACCAAAACCAAUCCAACAACUGUUAUUCCUCGUUUCUUCACCGCAGCCGCUGUGGCUUCCCCACCAAAAUAUGAGGAUCCAACAGGAAUUACCAUGAAAGGUGUGAAAAUCGCGAGCCACCCACUUUACCUCGACAUGCAUGCAACUUCCCCAGUGGAGCUGUAACAGAGAUUGUUAUCCUCGACAUGCAAAUUGGAGUUCCUAUCCCUGCCUUCACAGUUAUUAGUGGUAGAAAACAAUCUUGGAAUAGUCUGCCCAUUCAGGUAAAUAACUAUUUGGUUGCCAAGAAAAUUCAAGAAAGUUAAGCAAAAUAGGAAAGUGUAUUAAUUAGCUUGUCUCUUUUACUUAGUUCUAUUUGCAUUUGGUUCAUUAAAGUUUUUUUCUAUAUUUUGGCACUAAUGGUCAAUGUAAUAUUCAAAAAGUUUGAAUCUUUUUAUUUAUGAGUAGGUUUUCUUUGCUGUUGAAAUUUGCUAAUUCAUCUUCACAUUAGGUUUUCUCACGUUUUUUGUUGUAGAUUUGUUGAACUUUUAUGGAAACUUUCAUUGCAUGCGUUGAGAGAUAUUCAUAGGACUUUUGUGGUAGAUGUUGCUUCUAACCCAUUGCCUGCGGCAUUAAUUGAUGUUGCAUUUUCACAUGCUGCUGCACUACUUCCUGUAACAAAGGUAGUGCUAUUCUAUAGACUUUUCAUGUGAAGUACAAUUAUAGUUCUUUAUAUUAGGUCUGUCCUUCAUUUUUUUGUGUUUUAUUUUUCUCAUAUCACAGUUCAUUUCAUGUAUAGUUUCAGCAUUAAUUUCAAAAUGUUUUUUUAUUAAACCUUCCAUAGCAAUGGAAUAACGUGCUUAUUUUUAAAUAGGAUAGAAAAGCACUUGAACGGAGGAGAUUUUUUAAAAAAUGCAGAUACAGCAGUGUAGAGACAGGCUAUGUGGUCAAAUUUGGCUCAUGAAAUGAUUGUAGUGUUUCGUGGUCUUUAUGCCGAGGAGGUAGGUAAAUAAUAUUAAUCACUCAUUUGGAUUUAGUUGUUUAUUCUUAUUGCUUAUAUUUGGAUGUGUUAUGUAUUGGCAAUUUAAUAAUUAUUCCAUCCAAGACUGAAAUAUUAAUAUUUGGUUGUCAAGAUUAUGAAAAGUUUCUUAUUGGUCAAAAUUUUUGUUUUAACGGGGAUAUAGUGAAGUUCAGUUGGUAUUGGCCUAAUGACCAUUGCAAUGCUGCUCAGAAAUACCUUAGCGGUACGAUGCAUCUGAUUGAGUAGUGAGGAUCUCUCAUUUCAUCAUUAUUUACUUCAUGAUAAAUUUGCUUAUUUUUAACCUCAAAGUUAGAUCUCUGACUUCAUAGUUAAAAAAAAAAACUUUUUUGCAAGUAUAAAGGUAUCACUGUCUCCCUUAAUCAAAGUGUGGUAUAUUUGUUUUCUAUUGCCAGAUUCUGAAAGCAAGUCAAAAUGCAAUUUCAAGUACUUUACAAAGGGGAGUAGGAGAUAUGUGAAGUAGUUUGAGACAAAUGAUUUAAGGCAACCAAAGAAGGCAUUUAAGAUGCAAAAUGCUGUUAUGGAACCUUUCCUUCCUAGUUUUGAGUCUAACAGAUGACCAAAAUUCUCUUGCACCUGAAAAUGUAUGUCAAAAAUUGAAUUUUAGUCAUGAAUUCAAUCAUUUGAAAUAUCUUAAAACAAAGAAAUAAGUUCUUUUAUUCCAUUUUAUUCAAUGUUGAAUAAUUUUUUACAUUGAUCCAUGGUACAAUAAUUAUGACUUGAAACAUUCCAGAAGGAGAGCUGGCUUCUAAGUGCAUAAACUUAAAAGAGUAGAUGAUGUAUAUGAACAAUAGAAAAAUAUAUAAAAGGUGCUUAAAAGGAACAAUAGAAGACCAUAAUAAAGAGAUUCAAAAGUGACUAUGGUGAUAAUGAUUGGAUUGGUGGAGCAAUGUAACAAUUGUUCUUCUAUUGUGGAUCCUCAUGUGGCCUAUUUCUUCAAUAUAUUAACUAAUUAUAUGAGGCAUACAUAGAUAUGUGUUGGUUAGCAGAGUAAUGUGAUUUUAUAUUAUGGUUGGAACGUAAGCAAGAAUUAGACAUCUAGGAUAAUUAGAAAGGUCCUUAUAUUACUUGCUUUUUUUGUUGCUCUUCUCUUUUUGUCAAUGAUUUUUUUAAUAAUUAACUAAGUCAAAGGAUUCAUCUAUGUUAUUUUCUGGAUCAAAGUCUAUGCAUCAUAUACCAGGUAGUUACUGGUUUGAUCUGAUUCCUACUAUAGCUGAUUUAUCUGAGUCUAUAUGGCAUGUUUUCAUAGUUGAGGAAUUAUCUAUCCCCGGUUGGAGACUACGCUUUAAGAAGAAUUAUCUUGGUUGUAUUGCUACUUGCUUCAGUGGACAGGUCUGUUAGAAGAAUAUAAUGGUAGUUGGAACCAAUAAUUUGAUUGGUUAGUUUGCUAUUGGCGAGACUAGCAUCCUAUUAUUUUUCUACAAAAGUCAAAAGAUGUUUUAGAGUUGAUAGUAAUUUCAUGAUCCAUCUUUAACCCUGCUGUUCAAUUGCUCAUUGUAAAUGGAUAAAGCCACAUUACUUGGUGAAGUGAUUAUACAAGUGAAAGAGCUGAAGAAGAAUGCAACUGAAGCCAGCAAACUUUUGCAUCUCAAUCAGGUAAGACAUUUGCUGGAUUAUGGACAAACCUGGCUUCCUUCGUAGAAAACAAAUGAUGAUGGAAAUAUUGUAAGGGAAGAAAAUGAGGAGAGCUAACAAGAACUGUCUAUUAGAGAAAAACUUCUCAAAGGAUUUAUUCUAUCAUUUCUAUAGUUUUACAAACAUUUUCUGUCAUGCUUGAUCUCAAUAUCAUCAUGAUUCUUUACGACUAGUAUGAUAUUGAAUAAUAUUACUAAUGCAGCUAUUCUUGCUGAUGGGUGCUUAGCCAUGUAGAGUUGCUGCCAAAUUUGUAGGGAUUGAGAGCUUCACCACUUAUAACCCUUUGUGCUCACCAUUUUUGCAAAACACGUUUAGAGGGGCUUUUGCUGGUCAAAGUUUCACCAGACCGGGGACAUGUGAAGGCAGGAGAACACUUCAAGCACGGAAGAACAUAAUUAAAUGCCCUUCUUGCUCAAAUGAUCUAACUGAAUUUCUUCAGAAUCCUCAGGCAUUAGAGGCUAUGUCACGUGUAGUCUUGAUAUAUUGGAGAGCGCAAUACACGUAACAUGUGAAUUUCAUCUAUGCUAAUAGUGUUUUAAGGGGAGCUCUUUAUUCAAGAUACUUUUUGAUUUUAAUAAUAUAUAAUAUUUAUUUAAGAAGUCUGGUUAAUGGAUCUAAUAGAAUUGAGUUUUGCAAUACAAACAUAUUGAAUGAUGCUAGCAUUGUUCUUUUAUGCCAAUACUAAAUUGCAGCCACAAAUUUCUCCUGAUGACAUUUGUUCUCAUGGCAGGUUAACAAAGAACUAAUGACAGUGAUAGAGUCACUACAACACCUUCAAACAAGUUUCAAUCUUAGUAAAAAUUUGGUAAUCUAGAAAUUAUUUUUUUGUUGCUCGAUAAAUAAUAUUUAUUAUCAUUGUAGGUCUACAUUAUGAAUGAAUAUGAAGAUUUUUAUGUUCUUUUAAUGCCACUUUCCUGUGAAAGUUUAUCAAUUUUUUUCUUAAAUUCUUUUGUAAAGUUCACUUUUCUUUCUAAGUUUCUGAAUAUGCAUUUGAAUUAUAUUUAUUAAUUUACUAUGCAUUAUUCACUUUCCCAAGAAUCACUAAAAGCAUCUCGAGGGUUUUCCCUCUAGUUUCAGCUAAAGAGUGAGACUCUGCAGGAAAUGUAGUGGCAUUUGUCCAACUAGAUCCUAUGAUGCACCAACUUUCCACAUUAAAUCUUUGGGGACCCUCCACAUCUUGUGUUCAUCAUGUCCACUGAAAUUAUUGGCAGGUAUCAAUAUGAAAUAAAUAAAGGAGGAUCAGUCUACAUUUUGAUAUCGGCUUUUGCCAAUAAAUUAAUAAUUGUUAAAGCUUGAAAACUCUUUGUCUACAUUUUCUUUACAAAGAGGUCGUAAUGCAUGCUUCUAAUCUGAAGGGAAAGAAUUUGUUUCUGCUGCAUCCAGCAUUUAAAGUAUAGGAAACCUGAAACCAAAAAAAUAAUAUAUAUUUUACUUAGAUAAUAUAUAUUUUACUUAUAUAGUAAAAAAAUUAUUUUUAUUUAAAAAAGAUAUUAAUAGUAUAUGUGGUAAAUACAUAAUUUAAUAAGAUUUGCUAAAUAUAACGUAAAUAAGUUGAUAUAAUUGAUGAGAUUAAAAUUUGAGUUAACUUGAUAAAUAAUUUGAAAAUUUAUUGUGCAAAUUAUAAAUUUUAUGAAAAUUUAGGAUACAAAUUGUACAUUUUUUGUAGUAUCAAUUUAUUAUUAUUUUUUUUAAAAUUCAGAUAAAAUGUGUACAUUUUAUAAAAAUUUAAAAUGUAAAUUGUACAUUUUAUUUUUAAAAAAAUUAAUUUAUUAUUUUUUUCAAAAUUCAGAUAAAAAAUAAAGUGAAAUCAACUCCAUCAAUAAAGCAGAAUCGAAAGCGGCGACUCAAUAUCAAAAAAGCUGAUCGAUGACCACCAUUUCCCACUUGGCAGAGAAAAGUAAGCAAAAAUCUGAUCAGUUUUAGCCCAGGCAAUUUUCUUUUUUUUUUUUUUUCUUAAAAUGAUGCAAUUAUAGGCCCAAAGGGGAUGCCCACAAUCAUCGAAGAAAGUCAAAUUUCACGCCAAAAUCACACAAACAAGUUCUAGAUUAAUUUGCCCAUGACCAAAACCCCUAAAAGGUGCCUUUUUUUUUUUUUUUAAAGCUGUGCUUCAUUUAUUCAAAGAAAAGCAGGAAUCUGCUACAAUCCAACUACAAUACAACUACAAUUAGUAUACACUAACAUUCAUUAUUUGCAUAGCAGUCAACAUAUUGGUGCUAAUAUUUCAAGCUUCACACAAAUUCUUAUUCAUUGAGUCCGCAGCAACCGAGUGUAGGCCUUCUUAUAGAUUCUUGAUAUCUUCCCCAUCUCUGUACCACUUGAGGUUCUUUUCUCUCCAUGCCUGAUAUAUACAAUCACUCCAAGCAAUUCGAAAAAUGACUGGGAUCAAUACUUUCCCUUUCGUCUUGCUUUCUGCCCACCUAAACUCUGCAGCCCAUUCACCUAUCCAUCUUACGAUAUUGAUUUUAAUCUGCCUUGUGUAGCCUCCCAAUGGAUGAAGAAAAGUAUGGGAUUCUUGUAGCCCAUCUCAAGAAGCAGACGACGAGUAUUAGUCAUUAGCAAAGCAUGGCCAUUGUGAACAGGAUUCCUCAGCUGGAAAGCAAACACGGCAUCAGCAUUGCCCCUUUCGAACUCUUGCCGUAGUUCCACAGGUGACAACCGAUAACGAUCAAGACCAUCAUUGACCUUGAUCGGUUCUAUAACCUCCAAUUUCCAGCAUUUAUUAUUGUUUCUUCAACAUAUGGUAAACCAAGGGCAGUAGUUCCCCAAGUCCUUGCUAUCCUUUCUUCCUUGGGGUGCUGGUAAAUCUCAAUGCUGAAACAAUCCAGCAAUUAAGCAAAGAAUAAGACUCUUAAUUGAAUUUCACAAAAAUACACCUAUGGUUCAUGAACUAUAAAAGAAUUCCCAGAUAACUCAGUGAAAUCUCAUGCAAAUUGUUCAAGUCAUAGAAAGUUUAUAUUAUAUGAACUGUGUUUCCCUGCUUCUGAUUCAACUGUGGUCUCCCAAGAAUUGAAACAACAUUAUAGUCAGUGCAAAAACCUUAAGGUUUUUCAUUUUGAUAAGAAAACUCACUCUGAAUUCAAAACCCAGAUUAUAAGAUGACCCACAUUCAACAAGUUUCAAUUAUACGACUUUUCUAAGUUCAAAUAAUUCCCAUCCCCUAGUGUUGUACCAAGGACCUAGGAAAAUGCUGCCUUCACCAAGUAUCAUAUGAGGUUUACACAAGCUAAGGGCUGCACCACACCACCUUCUUCCCUGUACCAUCCCCCAACCCCAAUUUCAUUGAACAUCAGCAACAAGCCCGGGCACUUUCUAAUCUAGAAUACGGUAUGAUAUGAAAGCAUAUCAAAGUGAUCUAUCAACUCACCUGUUUAUACAUCAGAUUUGAGGAAUGAUGAAAUUUCAUAUUGGGCAUUAUUCAGGGGGCAACAAAAAAAUGAAAAAAAAAAAAGCCACUGAUAGAACACGAACCUGAAAGGACCUAAAAUGAACAAAUCAACCGCAAUCAACAAUAACAGCUUCUACUUCCCCAUUUCUACUCCAUCCUCGUUUCUUUCAUUUUUAUUUUAUUUAAAACUCUCUAACAUAAGCUUCUCUUGCAACAAAUGGAAAUAAUGCUCAAUUACAUACUUCAAUGAUUCUUACAUACCGUACCAGCUAACAUUAAAUAACUCAUACAAAUAUACAAUGUGCUAUUAAGGCUUAGAAGAAACAAAAAUAUUCCACAAGUCAUAUUUCAUUCUUUUUACCAACAUUUUCAUAAUGCAAAAAUAAAAUUAGAAAAAUAAAGAUACAAAAGCACUCUUUUCUAAUAUUUCAUAAAUGAUAUAAAAUAGUAAAAUCAUAAGUAGAACAAAACAUUAAUCAUUUUGUUUCUUUCAUUUUCUUUCUCUUUCUUCCCUUCCCAGCCACCGGUAGUCAAUUUAACCGUCAUUUUUUUUCAAAAAACAAUACAAUGAACUAAAUCUUGCAGCAUAAAAUUGAAAUGUAAUAUCUUUAAGCUUCAAUUUUGAAAAUCAAUUGUUUAUUCAAAUGCUAAAGAAUUACACGUAAAAUUUCAAAAAUCUUAACGUAGCAAGUUGAAUUAAAUUGAAAAGAAAUCAGCAACCUUUUUUUUCAUAAUAAAGGAAAGUCCAACAAAACUAGGAAAAAAAAACCACAAAAAUAAUUACAUCAACAAAACAAAACGUCAAGAACCCAUAUAAACUUGUAUGAAAAAAACAAAUUCCUUUAAACAGCAAACUAGAGUGUUGAACUGAACGAAAAUAAAGGAAUAAAGUGCAGUUAUCAUUACAUAAUAAUUACUAUAUUACGAGUUUAUCAACUUACUCGGUUAGGAUGGCGACCAGCCUAUCAUCCGAGUCAACGAGCGCCACUAUGUUGGACUCACUGAUACUCCCCUUUUGAGAAUCAUCAAUAGCCAAGACAAUCGGCACCGACAUAUUGACGAAGGAACCAUCUGUAGUCGGAGCGAGUUAAAAUAAAGAGUUUGGAGGAACUCGGAUUCCCUCAUGAACCCGGUGGGCGGGCUAGCCCAGCCUUCACUCAAAACGUGCACCCAUUGCACGUCGAUCCUAGUCAGUUUCACCCUGGGCGAUAAAGCCGCUUCCCGCUUCUUAAACUCCCGCUCCGACUCCGCCACGUGGAGGUCCACGAGUUUCCCUCCGUCCGGCUCUAUCAACCGGGCUCGGAUAGAGAAGCGUUUGGGCGGGAGUUCCUCGGUGCGUAUAAUUCGAUUUUAAUAGAAUUAAUCAAUUGAAUUAAUUUAAUUCGAUUAAUCAAUUCAAUUAUUAAAUUAAUUUUAAUUAAUUAAUAAAUUUUUUUAAAAAUUUUGUUUAAUUAAUUAAUUUGAUUAAAAAAUUAAAUUAAUCAAAAUUUAACAUAAUAUAAAUAUAAAAUAUAUAAAAUAAAUUAUUUAAUUUUAUAAUUUGUUAAAACUUUUUAUAUAAUAUUUUAAUAUUUAAAUAUUUUAUUAGAUAAUUUUAUUUAAUCUAUUUAAAAUUUAAAAAAUUUAAAAUUUAAUUUAAAUAUAUUUAUUAUUUAAUUAAUCAAAAAAAUUAAUAAAAUCAAUCAAAUUUAAUUCGAUCCAUUAAUUUUUAAAAUUUAUAAAUUUAAUUAUAUUGAUAAAAAUAAAAUAAUUUAAUUUAUUUUUAAAUAAUUUGAUUCAAAAUUAAUUUAAUUGAUUGAAUAAUCACUCUUUUUAAGCAUUUCGUGUUUGAAAGAGAGGGAAACAUAGAGUUUGAAGGAAGGGACAAAAUGGGUAUUCAAGGAUUUGUGCAAAGACUUGGACCGAAACGAAAUAGGGAUGAAAAUGGUUGAAGCCAUUGGAAGAGAAAAUAAGAGACCCAAACCGUUUUGAUUCUGCUUUUUUCUUCUGCCUCUUCUUGGUUUGGCUUUUGAGAGAUUCAUUAGUGACUUUGAGUAAAAUAUUAAGAGUAAAUGCUCUCCAUUUUUAUUUUCAUAAAUUUUUAUUUUUUAAAUGAAAUUAUUUAAUUUAUUAUCAUUUUUCACCCAAAUUUUUGAAAAUAAAUUUUUAAAAAAUUAUAAAUUUUUCAAAAAUAAAAUUUUAAAAACCUUUUAAAACUUUCAAAAAUAAAAUUUUGAAAACCUUUAAAAUCUUUAGAAAAAUUUUUUUGAAAGGUUUUAAAGGUUUUGUAACAUUCAUUGUUGAAAACUUUUAAAGUUUUUUAAAAAUUUAUUUUUAGAAAUUUUGAAUCACACAAAAAUAUUUCAACAAGAAAUUAUACAAAAUUAAACAUAAAAUCAAAUAAAAAAAGUAAAUAGAACAAAUUUUUUAUUUUUUAUUUAAAAUGUGUGAAAUUUCUUUUAAAUUUGAUUUAAUUGGAUUUAAAAUUAUUUAAAAUUUUCUGUUAAAAAGAAAGAGAAGAGAUAGGGUGUGAGAGAAAGAGAGAUAAAGUAUUUGGAUUUUUUAGUAAAAUUAAGUUUUAAGCGUAAAAAAUUGAAAAAUAGAGGAGUAAUUAAAUAAUUUUGUUUAUAAAGAUUUUAGAAAAUUUUAAAAAGGUGAAGACGAAAAGUUAAAUAGCAUUUAACAUCACUCCAAUAUUAACGGAGGAAUGAUAGAGUGGGGUAGAGUUCGAACAGUGGGAAUAUAAAAAAAUAAUCUAGAUUUAGCUUUAUCUUAUUAUUAUUAUUAUAUUAUGAAGAUAAAAUUUUAAAUUAAGUCUUUGAUAUUUCUUCAAGUAUUUUUAAUCAUUGGAUUAAAGGUUGGGAAUUUUAAUUUAAUCUUUGGUAUUUGGUUUGGAUAAGAAACUAGGAAACAAGGACAAUUGAGAUGAUUAUGUUUAUGUUAAUCAUGAUUAAGGUUGGAACGGUUUUCAUUCUAUCUGAUUUUUUAAUAUUUAUAAUGGAAUUGAAUUUGAUAUUAAAAUAUUAUUUUUUUAUAUUUGAUUUCAUUUGUAUAUUUAUAAAUUGUAUUUGAUUUGUUUUAAUUUAAUAUAAUAUUUAUAAAAUAUUAUUUUUUAAUAUAAAUUAUAUUAAAAUUAUAUAUAAACAUAAUAUUUUUAUUAAAUUAAUAUCUUAAAUUAAAUAAAAGUAAAAAUAAUAUUUUUUAUGUAUAUUCGAAUUAGGUCGAAACAAUGUCAACUAAAUCCCAACUUCAAAUCCGGGUUGAUCUUAGAGAAAAAAAAAACUUAACUUGACCUUCAAUUUAAAAAAAAUUCAAUUAUAUUAUAUCGAAAUAUUCAAAAAACGUCAAAUAUAAAUUAUUUUAUCAUUCUUAAACAUGAUAAGAAAAAGUAAAAACUGCUAAGUGAGGAAGAACCCAUGUUAAUUUUUAUAAGGUGAGUUAAAUUGUGCUUAAUUUCUUAUUGUUAUCAUGAAAAUAAAUAUUUUUUAUUAAGAGUGUAAAUAAUAAAAUUUUUGAUAAAUUAUUUAUGAAUUAUUUUUAUUUAUUUAUUAAAUUUAAUAGAUAAUUUAAAAUAUUUUGAUAAUCGUUUAAUAAGCGAAACAAAUAUAAAUAGAGAUAUAUUUCACUCACUUAUGUUCUUAAACAAAUUUAUUUAAUGUUAAUGAGCAAAUUCAAUAAAUAUUUAUUUAUAUAUUUUUUAUUUCUUAUAAGGUAGAUUACAUUAUAAUUAAAUAUUUUUUAAACAAGAUUUCAAUCACAAUUGAAUAUUAAUACAUUAAAAAUAUAUUUAACAUAUAUUAAAAAUCUUUCAUAAUGUUUUAAAAAUAUUAUUAUAAAUCGUACCGAGUGAUUUGUAAAGCUCUAAUUGCAAUAAAUCAUAAUUUACUAAAACUAAAACUCCCACACCUAUGCUAAUUGACAUGUCGUCUGCUGCAAUUGGAGAGAUUGUCAAGGUUAAUGUCUUCCCUCGCAAGUAUGUCGGAUAAGUAGAGUAGAUGGAUUGAAGGUUUCAUGGGUAGUUAGAAAAUUAAAAAAAAAAAAAAUCCCACAUGAUACCAGUACAUCGCAUUAUUGUUGCUGAAAAAGGCACAGGGUUGUGGCUGCUUGAUAACUCUGGAAUUGGGUCAGACUCUCCACCCUAUCGACGCAUGGUAGAAUUAAGAAAAAAAAAGAAUAAAUAUUUGAUAAUUUUGAUUUAGGGUGGAUCCUAAAUAGCGAAACUGUUGUUUUUGAAUAAACUAGAUUGUAUUUUCAACAACAUUUAAAAAGGAUUUCAUAGUCACCAGAAUCCCAAAGAUCAUGCGGAUGGAAUGGAACUCGAUAAACAUUACUACUAUUCUGACAAAAAUUAAUUACUCUGAUCACACUGCCAAAAGCUUGUUCGAUGUGGGCAUCUGGAAAUUCCAUUUUGCCAUGCAUCUGUUAAAAAUGAGUGCGGUAUGGGCUGAAAGAUCCUCAGCUGUGUGAUGUAACGUAAAACAGGAUACAAUGUAAAAAUAAUUUAAAAUAUAAAAAUAACAUAAUUUAAAUUUUUAAUAAAAAUUAUAUAUGAAUUUAAUAAAAUUUAAAAUUAUAUUUUAUAUUUUUAUAUUAAUACAAAUUAUAAUACAUAAUUUUUAUAUAAAAUAUAAUAUAAAUAUAUAAAUUAUUAAUAUUUUAUAUAAUAAAAAUAUAUAAAUCGUCAAUUAAUUUUAUAGGUAAACAUAUAAAUUUACGGAAUUGACUCUGCCCACGUUGGAAAUGUGGUGGUAGCAGGUAUGGAAUCUCCUUUUUUCUGUCUUUUUCUCUUUACAGAGGGAGCAAUGAGCUCUAUCAUGGUGAAUGCCUGUGAGUGGCAUCGAUCGAUCAGUCAUGACCACGCCAGGACCCAGCCAAGCAGCAGCCAGGGAACCAAUUUUUAUAAAAAUAUUUAAUAUUUUUAUUAAACAAAUCACAUGUAUAUAAUAAAAUUAUACUACUUAGGUAUUAUAUUGACAAAUUAAAUUAAUAGUAUUAGAAUUUGAAUUAAAAUAAUAUAUUAUUUAAAAAUUUAGAGUGCAAAUUAUAUAUUUUAUUUUUUUAGAUAUUAAUUUAUAUAUUUUUUCAAAAUUCAGAUAUAAAAAAUAUAAUUAACUCUUAUGGUCGCUUUUUUUUGGCAUUAGUUCUUAUGUUUUUAAUCAUGUAUUUCGCUGCUUGUUAUUUGAUGCUGCAUUUACCUUUAAACUUUCGUUAGUUUUAUUGAUCGGUACUUGCACGCAAUCUGCCUGUUGAAAUUCUAACUUCUAUUUUUUAUAUUUAGGGACAUAUUAGCUAUAUUCUAAACUUCCAUCAGUCGCUAUUGGCUGCAUGUGAAACAGAGGCAGCCGAGUCAGACACGAUGAAACAAAUUUAAUGGGAAAACAAGGAGCAUGAAAUUGCACUUGUUGGUUGAUUUUUAUAAGAACUUACGACGAUUUAAGAAGCUAUCAAUGAUUUUCACCCUUGAUUCUUUUAGCAAGAGGAGGAAUGGACGACAGAAGAUUUCUAUUUAAUAUUAACAUCACUGAUAGUUUACAAGCAAUAUCGAGUGAGAGAAGGUCUUAUAAUUGCAAAAUUAUUCAACAGCUUAUUUUCUACUUGAACAUUGGAUGAAAAUUUCCAUAUUUCACACCAUUUCUUUACAAAAUUAAAAAUUUUGACCUAGUGUGAUGGUCAAUGUAUAGUACUAAUAAUAAUUGUAUUGUACUAGUAGAAUAUAGGACUGAAAAAAAAAAUACAAAGUUAAUUUGAAAUUAUAAUGUUUAAUUUAAAUUUGAUUUUUUUAUUCAAUUUAAUUUAAAUUUGAUCCACAAUAUAUUAGAAUUUCGAAAACAAAUAUGUCAACUAAGAAGUUUGUUAUCUUCAUUCAUCUUUUGAAGAUUGGAAGGAAAUUUCCAAGUUCAUAUUAUUUUUUUGCGAAAUUGAAAAUUUUUGACGGAAUAUAAUGGCAAUGUAUAUAUAACUAGCAAAAGGAUAAAAUUUUUUUUUAAAUUAAUAAUUAUUUUAUAUUAUUUAUAUUUAUAUAAUUAAUUAAGUUUUAUUUUUAUUUCGGAUUAAACUAAAUUUUUAAAUAUUUAUUUUUAUUCAAUAUAAUCUUUUAAAAUCUAUUUUUACUUUAAUUAAACAAAAAUUAAUAUUAACAGUUAAUUAGUUUCUCUUUAAUAAAACUCAAAAAAUAAAAAUAAAUAUUUAAAAAUUAAAUUAAUUAUAAUAAAAAAUAAUUAUUAGAAUAAUUAUUAAAAUUUUAACCCUUUAGCUUAAUAUAAUACUAUCAAUAAUUGUAUUAUAUGUAGUGGAAGAGCGUCAGAUUCGGCACCAAACACAGCAGGGGCCCUCUCGGCCCUCUUUAUUGCGAAAAAAGACAAAUUCAGGUUCAGUUAAUUUCGUAAAAAAUAAUUUUCAUUUAUGGUUCUAAAGGCAAUACGAUCUUUUUAAUGAAAAAAUUAUUUAUUUUCUCAUUAAGAUUAUUUUAGAUAUGAUGAGUUGAUUUGAGUUUUCAAAAUUUAUUUUAACUCAAUCAACUUAAUAUUUCACUUAAUAGCAUGUGAAAAUAUUAACUUAUCAUUCCUUGUCGAGUAUUUUCUUGACAUGUCAGGUUAGAUUAAUCUUCUAAGUGUUAGACCCGACCUUCAAAACUCGGAUCAUUAAAGUCCGGACACGCCAUCACUCAAGUUUAAAUGCCCCUCCCACUAAAAAAAUGGGUAAAUAAUUCGUAACCUCCUUUCUCUUAACUUUUUUUUUUUUUUCGAGCACUGGCUUGAAUAUUGAAAUAUAAACGUAAAAACAUUUUCAGCAUUUAUUUUUUUAAUGAUGCAUAAUAUAAUAAAUUUUUAAAAUUUAAUUUGAAUCUAAAUCAAUCUUCUUCUAAAUUGAUCUAAAUUGAAUUUUAUCUAUUAAGUUCAAUUUUAACCAUUAGUUCUUGAAAUUUAAUUUUUUUUAUAUAUUAUUUUAAUAUAAUUUUAAUAUAUUUAAAUAUAAAAUAAUUAUUUUGAUUUUACAAAAUUCAAAAAAUAUAUAAAAGCUAAUAAAAAUAUAAAAUUUGAUUUGAUUUAGUUUUUUUUUUAAAUUUUCUCUUUUCAAUAUAAAAUUUAAUUGAAACCUAAUAUAUAUAUAUAAUAUUUAAAUUUAAUCUGAAUCGAAUCAAAAAAUCAAUCUAAAUUAAAUCAAACAUUAUAAUUUUAAAUCAUUUUUUUUUCUCACCUCCUUUCCACAUAAUUCUAAUUUGUUUUGGACUCUUUUUUACUUUUACGGUUUGGGUUUAAUUCACAAGGUCAUAAAGACCACAGUUUUGAGGUUUGAGCCCAUUUUCCAUAAUUAAUUAGAUAUCAAGCCAAUUAAUUUAAUUAAUCCUAUUGGAUGAAAAGAUACUAAAAACCUUUAUAGUUUGGGGGCUUUAAUUAAUUUGACAUUAAUCCUGUCCACAUUAAUUAUUUUAAUUGGAUUAAACCUAAUUGCGAAUAAAUCUCUUAGACUUAUUUUAUGGAUUAUUUUGGGAGUCAGCAACACAGUAUGGUCAGUUUGUAAGAGACUCAUGGUGAAGUUGUCCAAUUUUCACAUUCAAGCAUCAUAAACAAAUUUCAAACUGCCCCCAAAUACUUUAUUGCUGUAAAAAUAAUUGUGAACGUAAUCCGUAAAGAUGAGGGCCCUAAAAAUGUUUCACUAAGUAGGGCAGAACAUGAAAGAAUAAUAAAAGAAUAACAAUGAGCUUGGCAAUCUGAAUUAUGAUACGAUGUCCUACUUCCUCCCUUUCAUAUAGCUGAAAAUGGGUUUCUGUGGAACAGGUAUGCACUUGACAACCCAACCAAUGGGCCAAGACAUUGCUGCAAUUGCGAUGCAGGCACCCCACUGGCCCCAAUUCAACCUCUCUGUAUCUGUAAACCGUUUCAGAAAUUCUACCAUCACCACUUGCAGAAGAAUGGUUAUCGCGAUGAUUCCCAUAAACAACUUAUUCUUGUGUAUCCCCUCAAAUACGUUCUUCUUUUCGAGCUUCCUUGCAUUGAAUUCGUUGAAGACUUGGCACAGGACAAAAGUAUUGAAGAUCAAUGUAUCAUUUACCUUCUCUGUUACGCCAAAGAUUGAUUCACCGCUGAAUUGUAGGGUGAGAAGCACCGCUAUCUGGUAUAAAGCUUGAGCAAGUAGGUUCCUCCACAUGAUAUUUGUGAUGAGUGGCUCUGUUCGACCAACGGGUGGUUUCUCCAUUAACUCCUUUGUAGGCCGCUCUGUGGCAAGAGCCAGAGCACCCAAUGUGUCCAUGAUCAAGUUCACCCACAAUAACUGGACUGCUGUUAGAGGGACUUCACCUGCUGAAACUGCUGAUACGAAGUUGAUACAAAGUGCAGCAACAUUUACAGUAAGCUGGAACUGAAUAAAUUUCUGGAUGUUGGUAUAGACACAUCUUCCCCACCUCAAGACUGUGGCAACAGAGGCAAAAUUAUCGUCCAAGAUGACAAUAUCUGAGCUCUCUUUCGCCACUUCAGUCCCCUGAAUUCCCAUGGAUAGUCCUAUAUCUGCUUCCUUGAGUGCUGGUGCAUCAUUUGUGCCAUCACCUGUGACUGCAACGACAUGUCCUUUCUUUUUUAAGCACUGUACCAUGAGAAGUUUAUCAAAAGGAGAGGACCUUGACAUAACACGUAUUUUUUCAACUUUCUCCAUCCUCUCCUGUGGCGUGUAAUUUCUGAAUUCCUCACCUUCUACCACCACACCGCUGGGCAUAUCCUCACCAGGCCUGAGAAUCCCACAUUCAGUUGCUAUGGCUCUGGCUGUGAAAACAUUAUCGCCAGUUAUCAUUUUGAUGUUUACUCCAGCAUAUCGGCAGUCUUCCACAGCUUUCUUCACUCCAGGUCUGCAUGGAUCCUUUAUACCCACCAGCCCUAACAGGGUUAAGCAGUCUUCAUUAAGCUUUUUCUGCUCUUCUAGAUUUUCGUACUCUUCCUCUGGAACUUGUUUAUGGGCAAAAGCAAUACACCUGAGGCUGCUCGCAGCCAUGCCUUGAAUAAUUUGCUCAAAUUUCAUCCUUUCGCUAUCAUUGAGAUCUUUCAUGACACCAGAAGCAUCAUAGUAGCUUGAGCACAUUCCUAGAAUCAUCUCUGCAGCUCCUUUCCAGUGGACAUGGACAGUGUCAUCAUCAUUCCUCCCAAUCAAAACCCCACUACGUUUUUUCUGAGAAUUGAAGGCUUCAACUUGGAGUGUGGCACAACUCUUCUUCGUUUUCUCCAUAUCCAUCUUCAGUUCCAGGACAGCCCAAGAAAGGAUUGCCUUUUCUGUUGGACUGCCUGAGAAUUCAAAUUCUGUUCCUGAAGAAGCUCUGUAAACACUACCAGUAGUGUUGAAAGCAACUCCCUGAUGGAUCAAGUCUACAACAUAUGGAGAAAUUGAAGAAGCAACCUCUUCCAUAGAUUCUUGGCCAAGCCAAAAUUUUGUCAGCUUCAUUCGGUUGAGUGUCAGAGUACCCGUUUUGUCUGUACAAAUUGUGGUGGCAGAUCCCAUUGUCUCACAGGCAGAAAGCUUUCUCACCAUUGCAUGAUCUGCCAUCAUUCUCUUCAUCGAAUAAGCAAGAGUCAGUGUGACAGCUAGUGGCAGUCCUUCUGGAAUUGCAACUACAAUGAUGGUAACAGCUGCAGCUACAAUUCCCACAACAGCGUUUAUAAUAUCAUGAGCCUUUGUCUUGCUUCCAUUGAAUUCCCGGUUUCCAUUCUCAUCUGUUGUGUUGCCUGUGAAGUAACGAACCAGCAAAACGACAAGAACCAGGAAAGCAACUGCUAAGCCAACCUUACCAAUCGAUGAGGUCAGCUUGUUUAAACGCGCUUGUAAGGGUGUCUGUUCAUUGGUAUCACGGCUGAUCUGGCUCAUCAUUUGGCCCCACGUUGUAUUCAUGCCAACCGAAGUGACAAGCAUCCGACCAUACCCAUCGGCCACCUUGGUCCCUGAAAACAAGAAUGGAUUUUGGCUCACAUUUACCUCAACAUGGUCACUUUCCCCAGUCAUGCUUGAUUCAUCUAUUUGCAAGGACUGUCCAUCUAAGAACAACCCAUCAGCAGGAACUUGAUCUCCAAUCUUUAGACACACAAUGUCUCCAACAACGAUAUCAAAUAUUGAAAAUUGUUGGCGACGACCUCCUCGAACAACAUCAAUCUGAAUAUUGUUGCUGACUUUUGAUAACUUGUCAAAUUGUCUGUUCUGCCUAUAGUUACUCAUAGCAGAAACAGCAAUGACAAGAAAUACAGCUACAAAAAUACUUCCACCGUCAUACCAACCUUCUUUAGGCCCACGUUCUUUGAUUCCAAAGCCAAGUGAAAGUGCUGCACAGCCUAACAGAAUUAUUAUAGUAAGGUCUUUAAAUGCUUCAAUGACAAAAUGGAAAAAGCUCUUUGUUGGCGGUUUCUUAUAAGUGUUGGAACCAAAUGCCUUGUGUCGGCGUUCAAUGUCAUCGAUGCUGCCAGAAAUGCCAAGCUCAGUGUCGGUUCCAAGAGCAGAAGCCACAGCAGCAACCCCAUCAAGGUUCUGCAGCCUCUCGAUUUUUUUCUCUUUCACCAGCUCAAUGAGAGUUGUUUGAUCAAUUUGGAAAGGACUGUUUUCUUGUAUAACAGUGAGUGAAACA